rnacentral:rRNA from 1 species
AUUGAACGCUGGCGGCAUGCUUUACACAUGCAAGUCGAACGGCAGCGCGGGGGCAACCCUGGCGGCGAGUGGCGAACGGGUGAGUAAUGUAUCGGAACGUAUCCUGUAAUGGGGGAUAACCAGUCGAAAGAUUGGGUAAUACCGCAUACGCACGAGAGUGGAAAGUAGGGGAUCGCAAGACCUUACGUUAUAGGAGCGGCCGAUAUCUGAUUAGCUAGUUGGUGGGGUAAAGGCCUACCAAGGCGACGAUCAGUAGCUGGUCUGAGAGGACGACCAGCCACACUGGGACUGAGACCACGGCCCAGACUCCUACGGGAGGCAGCAGUGGGGAAUUUUGGACAAUGGGCGAAAGCCUGAUCCAGCCAUGCCGCGUGCAGGAAGAAGGCCUUCGGGUUGUAAACUGCUUUAGUCUAGGAAAAAGGGGUGCGAGGUUAAUACCCUCGUGCUUUGAUGGUACUGGAAGAAUAAGCACCGGCUAACUACGUG